rnacentral:rRNA from 1 species
UACGGGGGGGGCAAGCGUUGUUCGGAAUUACUGGGCGUAAAGCGCGUGUAGGCGGUUGCCAAAGUCGGGUGUGAAAGCCUUGAGCUUAACUCAAGAAAUGCACUCGAUACUUGGUGACUAGAGGACCGGAGAGGAUAGUGGAAUUCCCAGUGUAGUGGUGAAAUACGUAGAGAUUGGGAAGAACACCAGUGGCGAAGGCGGCUAUCUGGACGGUUUCUGACGCUAAGACGCGAAAGCGUGGGGAGCAAACAGG